rnacentral:rRNA from 1 species
GACGAACGCUGGCGGCGUGCUUAACACAUGCAAGUCGAACGAUGAUGCCCAGCUUGCUGGGUGGAUUAGUGGCGAACGGGUGAGUAACACGUGAGUAACCUGCCCCUGACUCUGGGAUAAGCGUUGGAAACGACGUCUAAUACUGGAUAUGAUCACUGGCCGCAUGGUCUGGUGGUGGAAAGAUUUUUUGGUUGGGGAUGGACUCGCGGCCUAUCAGCUUGUUGGUGAGGUAAUGGCUCACCAAGGCGACGACGGGUAGCCGGCCUGAGAGGGUGACCGGCCACACUGAGACUGAGAUACGGCCCAGACUCCUACGGGAGGCAGCAGUGGGGAAUAUUGCACAAUGGGCGAAAGCCUGAUGCAGCAACGCCGCGUGAGGGAUGACGGCCUUCGGGUUGUAAACCUCUUUUAGUAGGGAAGAAGCGAAAGUGACGGUACCUGCAGAAAAAGCACCGGCUAACUACGUGCCAGCCGCCGCAGUAA